CCUACGGGUGGCAGCAGUGGGGAAUAUUGCGCAAUGGGCGAAAGCCUGACGCAGCGACGCCGCGUGCGGGAUGAAGGUCUUCGGAUCGUAAACCUCUGUCAGCAGGGAAGAACGGUCACUGUGAUAAUCAGCAGUGAAUUGACGGUACCUGCAAAGGAAGCACCGGCUAACUCCGUGCCAGCAGCCGCGGUAAUACGGAGGGGUCGAGCCUUAAUCGGAAUUAGUGGGCGUAAAGCGAUCGUAGGCGGUAUGUCAAGUCAUGGGUGAAAUCCCCGCGCUAAACGUGGGAACUGCCUUUGAAACGGGUAAACUGGAGUGUGUGAGAGGAUAGUGGAAUUCCAGGUGAAGGAGUGAA
rnacentral:rRNA from 1 species